AGGACGAACGCUGGCGGCGUGCUUAACACAUGCAAGUCGAGCGGAAAGGCCCUUCGGGGUACUCGAGCGGCGAACGGGUGAGUAACACGUGAGCAACCUGCCCUGGACUUUGGGAUAACCCUCGGAAACGGGGGCUAAUACCGAAUAUGACCUGGUUUCGCAUGUGACUGGGUGGAAAGUUUUUCGGUCUGGGAUGGACUCGCGGCCUAUCAGCUUGUUGGUGAGGUAAUGGCUCACCAAGGCGAGGACGGGUA
rnacentral:rRNA from 1 species